GACGAACGCUGGCGGCGUGCUUAACACAUGCAAGUCGAACGAUGAAGCCUUUCGGGGUGGAUUAGUGGCGAACGGGUGAGUAACACGUGGGUAAUCUGCCUUGCACUCUGGGAUAAGCCUGGGAAACUGGGUCUAAUACCGGAUAUGACUACUUCACGCAUGUGGGGUUGUGGAAAGUUCUGGCGGUGUGAGAUGAACCCGCGGCCUAUCAGCUUGUUGGUGGGGUGAUGGCCUACCAAGGCGACGACGGGUAGCCGGCCUGAGAGGGCGACCGGUCACACUGGGACUGAGACACGGCCCAGACUCCUACGGGAGGCAGCAGGUGGGGAAUAUUGCACAAUGGGCGAAAGCCUGAUGCAGCGACGCCGCGUGAGGGAUGACGGCCU
rnacentral:rRNA from 1 species